rnacentral:rRNA from 1 species
UAGGGAAUCUUCCACAAUGGGCGCAAGCCUGAUGGAGCAACGCCGCGUGAGUGAAGAAGGUCUUCGGAUCGUAAAACUCUGUUGUUAGAGAAGAACACGAGUGAGAGUAACUGUUCAUUCGAUGACGGUAUCUAACCAGCAAGCCACGGCUAACUACGUACCAG